AUGAACACGACCCUGUUUGGACUUCCUGUCUGUACUGUGACCCAGGCUGGUUCUGGGGGCUGGAGUCCUGCUGCUCUAUCCGUCUCAUUGGUUACGCCUCAAAUGGCACCCUAUUCCCUACAUAGUGUACUGCUUUUGACAAGAGUCCUGUGGGCCCAAGUAGUGCAUCAUACGCUAAAGGGAAUAGGGUGCCAUUUGGGACGUACGGUCUUGCACAUGUCCAUCUACUGUCCAUCUACUGUCCAUCUACUGUCCAUCUACUGUCCAUCAUUCACAUGUCCAUCUACUAUCUAUCAUUCACAUGUCCAUCUACUGUCCAUCAUUCACAUGUCCAUCUACUAUCCAUCAUUCACAUGUCCAUCUACUGUCCAUCAUUCACAUGUCCAUCUACUGUCCAUCUACUGUCCAUCAUUCACAUGUCCAUCUACUAUCCAUCAUUCACANNNNNNNNNNUUUUUUUUGCAGCAAUUCAACCAUGAAUGCCUGAUUCACGCAGUCUCCUCUGAACAGUUGAUGUUGAGAUGUGUCUGUCUGUUAAUUGUGAAGCAUUUAUUUGGGCUGUAAUCUGAGGUGCAGUUAACUCUAAUGAACUUAUCCUCUGCAGCAGAGGUAACUCUGGGUCUUCCUUUCCUGUGGCGGUCCGCAUGAGAGCCAAUUUGUGGAGUGGUUGAAAAACAAGUUUUAAUGACUCCAACCUAGUGUAUGUAAACUUCCCACUUCAACUGUAACUGGCUUGUAUGUUAGAUGCUCCAUGAGAUCUAAUAAAAUAUCAUAGUGGUGAUAUUUUUGUGAAGUCUGUUAUUAUUAUUAAGAAGGUGUAAUUUGAGAGAGUAAAUAUCUACUUGGACCUUCCAGCUACUUGAACCUCCAGCACAAUCUCUACUUGGACCGUCCAGCUACUUGGCCCUCCAGCACAAUCUCUACUUGGACCUUCCAGCUACUUGAAACUCCAGCACAAUCUCUACUUGGACCGUCCAGCUACUUGGCCCUCCAGCACAAUCUCUACUUGGACCUUCCAGCUACUUGGUCCUCCAGCACAACUCUACUUGGACCGUCCA
rnacentral:lncRNA from 13 species